AAGGUGGGUGGAUCGCCCGAGGUCAGAAGUUCAGCACCAGCCUGGCCAACAUGGUGAGACCCCGUCUCUACUAAAAAUAUAAAAACUAGCCAGGUGUGGUGCACACCUAUAAUCCCAGCUACUCGGGAGGCUGAGGGAGGAGAAUGGCUUGAACCAGGGAGGUGGAGGUUGCAGUGAGCCGAGAUGGCACCACUGCACUCCAACUUGGGUGACGGAGCAAGACUCUGUCUGAAAAAAAAAAAAAAAGAAAAGAGAAGAGAAGAAAUGCAGAUACAGACACACUGUGCACUGCAGUUGAAGAUCCAGGGAGCAGGUGAUACAAAGGGGGAUUCAUGGAAUAUAUGGCCAUCGCAGCAGGAUCUUUCCUGCUAGGCAAACAGUCAUGUCCGAGCAAGCAAGCAAGCAUUAAUGGCAGAGCUCAAAGUUGAGUGGAAAGUUUUGAUGCCGUGUCAGGAAACCGAGGCCAAAACUAAUGUGAAUGGACUGAAUCCUGAUGGAAUUGGGGAAAAGAGUGUCGAUAAAAGGUGUGACUCAAGCUCUCCUGGGGAUGCAGCAGGCUCAAUGCCAGGUGCUUUUUCAGGCCCAUCAGCUGUUGAAAUUGAGGGUUGCUAUAUCUUUCUGGACCCAGUCUUUUUUUUUUUUUUUUUUUUUUUUGAGACUGAGUCUCUGUUACCCAGACUGGAGACUGGAGUGCAGUGGCACGAUCUCAGCACACCGCAACCUCCACCUCCUGGGUUCAAGCAACUCUCCUGACUCAGCCUCCCAAGUAGCUGGGACUACAGGCACGCACCAACACACUUGGAUGAUUUUUGUAUUUUUUUAGUAGAGACGGAGUUUCACCAUAUUGGCCAGGCUGGUCUUCAACUCCUGACCAUAGUGAUUCUCCUGCUUUGGCCUCCCAAAGUGUGGGAUUACAAGUGUGGGCCACUGUGCCUGGCCUCUGGACCCAGUCUUAAUCCCUGUUGUAUACCCUCAGUACUUAGCACAGUGCCUGAAACAUAGUGUUACUAAGGCUCCUGCCUCACUGUGAGUCUCCUUCACCAGUGUGCAUGGGAAGGAAAUAGGAGCCAGAUAUCCUAGGUUUAAGAGCUUGUUCUAAAUAAUGGCAUUUGCAGCAACCUGGAUGGAAUUGAAGACCAUUAUUUCCAAGUGAAGUAACUCAGGAAUGGAAAACAAAAUACUGCAUGUUCUCCACUCAUAGGUGGGAGCUAAACUAUGAGGAUGCAAAGGCAAAGAAUGAUACAAUGGAAAGGGUGGGAGGAGGGUGAGGGAUAAAAGACUACCCAUUAGGUACAGUGUACACUUCUCAGGUGAUGGGUGCACCAAAAUCUUAGAGGUCACCACUGAAGAAUUCAUCCAUGCAACAAAACACAACCUGUUUCCCCAAAAGCUACUGAAAUUUAAAAAAAAAAAAAAAAAAAAAA
rnacentral:lncRNA from 1 species